rnacentral:lncRNA from 1 species
CACUCAGGCCAUAGAUUAAUCACAGAGGCAUGGGAACGUACACAUCUGGGUGUGUGAACAUAGGCACAUUUGCAAGUGUUUAGGGAAGUCACAUCUGUACACCAUCAGGAGUCAGUGCCUCACUUUGAAACCACUUCAGAAAUCCAUGAGUCUCUCUCACAAGGGUGGAGGACAAGCUGGGACCCCAGGGAAUGUGAUAUUUUCACAUUCUGCCUGUAGAAUAAAUGACCAUCACCACAGUCUUGUCAGUAGGCUGCCAAGGAGUGCAAUAUCCUGGGAAGGACAAUCUGAAUCUCACCAGGGAAAAAUCUCAGCCUUCAUUUUGCUAUCAAUCACGAAUUGCCAUACUUCAGAAAGAAACUUAAGACUCAAAGAGAUCCUGCAGGUCUUUCUUCAAUUUCCUGGAUGAAAUUGAACAAAAACAAGUUCCAGAGAGGACUCCAGUAACAUCUCCAACUUCCAGAUUGGAUUCAGUAACUGAUGACAUCUUAUUAGGUGUGAGAAUACUGUGUUUUUCCAUUCAUCAUUAUAAAUAAAGCAAUAUUUUUUACUUUCCA